rnacentral:rRNA from 1 species
GAUGAACGCUGGCGGCGUGCCUAAUACAUGCAAGUCGAGCGAACAGACGAGGAGCUUGCUCCGCUGACGUUAGCGGCGGACGGGUGAGUAACACGUGGAUAACCUACCUAUAAGACUGGGAUAACUUCGGGAAACCGGAGCUAAUACCGGAUAAUAUAUUGAACCGCAUGGUUCAAUAGUGAAAGACGGCUUUGCUGUCACUUAUAGAUGGAUCCGCGCCGCAUUAGCGGUUUGGUAGGUUAACGGCUUCCAAGGCAACGAUGCGUAGCCGACCUGAGAGGGUGAUCGGCCACACUGGGACUGAGACACGGUCCAGACUCCUACGGGAGGCAGCAGUAGGGAAUCUUCCACAAUGGGCGAAAGCCUGACGGAGCAACGCCGCGUGAGUGAUGAAGGUCUUCGGAUCGUAAAACUCUGUUAUUAGGGAAGAACAAAUGUGUAAGUAACUAUGCACGUCUUGACGGUACCUAAUCAGAAAGCCACGGCUAACUACGUG